CAGUAGCCGCGGGAAUACGUAGGGUGCAAGCGUUAAUCGGAAUUACUGGGCGUAAAGCGUGCGCAGGCGGUUAUAUAAGACAGAUGUGAAAUCCCCGGGCUCAACCUGGGAACUGCAUUCGUGACUGUAUAGCUAGAGUACGGCAGAGGGGGAUGGAAUUCCGCGUGUAGCAGUGAAAUGCGUAGAUAUGCGGAGGAACACCGAUGGCGAAGGCAAUCCCCUGGGCCUGUACUGACGCUCAUGCACGAAAGCGUGGGGAGCAAACAGGAUUAGAUACCCCCGUAGUCCCUGUCUCUUAUAA
rnacentral:rRNA from 1 species